rnacentral:piRNA from 2 species
UGAGACCCUCUGGUGGAUUGGAUGUGAGU